rnacentral:lncRNA from 1 species
UAGGAAAGCUCAGUAAAUAAAAGCUAUAGCUUUAGUACUUGAUUUCUAGGUGGGCUUGUGACUGUCCAGGAGUAAAAAGAGUUUAUUCUUCUUUAAGGGGAUGACUUGAUGUUGGAAAAGAGGAGGAGUCAAAGGAACCACUUUCAGCUGGGGAGCCAAACCCGUCUCGUUGAGGGAGCCUAGAGCAAGUUGUUUUAAUUUUACCCAGCAUUUGUGGAGCUUCUGAGUCGCUGAAGAGAAAGCCCUGGUUGCACAGAAUUACCUGGACUGAGUUCAAUGGCAGAGCAGUACUUGGAAUGGUGGACUAUCAUAUGGACUUCAUUUUCUUGAAAUGUCACAGGUUCUAAUGUUCCAAUUUUUCUGAGCAGACAAUAGCAUGAUAUUUAAUUGUAUGGGUCAACUUGGUUAGGUUCUAGUACUCACUUAUUC